UACGGAGGGUGCGAGCGUUAAUCGGAAUUACUGGGCGUAAAGCGCACGUAGGCGGUCAGGCAAGUCGGGUGUGAAAGCCCUGGGCUCAACCUGGGAAUUGCAUUCGAAACUAUCUGACUCGAGUAUGGGAGAGGGAAGCGGAAUUUCCGGUGUAGCGGUGAAAUGCGUAGAUAUCGGAAGGAACACCAGUGGCGAAGGCGGCUUCCUGGACCGGCAUUGACGCUGAGGAGCGAAAGCCAGGGGAGCAAACGGG
rnacentral:rRNA from 1 species